AGCUUGGGAGGAGGAGGAGGAGGCAGUAGGAGGCACCCAGCACCAGGAUGACCUGACCUGCUGGCCACACGGUGACUCAGGAGUAGUCACCCCCCUCCCAGCUGUUCUCCGGUCACAUCCAGUUGACCGCCUCACACCACUGACCUGACCACUGACAUGCAGCCAUCUGUGCUUUACAUGGAAGGAGAGGACAGAAAGGAGCCAUGAAGUGCCUCAAACCCUGGAGGGCACCAAGCAGAGCCCAUUUCACAGAUGUGGAAGCUGAGAUACAGAAGGAACAGCAUCAAAUAAUAGCAAAAAGGAAUAGAAAUAAAAGAAAUUUUGGGGGGAAGAAGCAUGACUUCAAAUUCCAGGUCCAAUUUCAGAAAUGUUACUGUGAUGUGUAAUGUCUUUGGACAAAUCUGAGGAAUCUUCAGCCAUUAUUUCUUCAAAUAGUUUCUCAGCAUCCCCUCCUUUUAUCUUUUGAGACAUUGCUGACAUGCAUGUUACCUCUUUAAUUAUAGUGCUAUAAGUCCCAACACCCUGUUUUUGCUUUUCUCUCUAGAGUAUUUUCUUUCUAUUGCUCAGUGUGAGCAAUUUCUAUUAUUCUAUCUUCAAGUUGACAGACUCUUUUCCAUUUAGCUAUUAAGCCCAUUUGUUGACAUUUUAUUUUGCUUUUUAUUAUUUGCGGCACUAGAAAUGGCCUAUUUUUUAAGUAUUCCACAAGCCCUUGAAAAUAAAUGUGUAUUCUAUUUUGAGCAAAAUGUAUAUCAAUUUUGAUCCUGUUCAGAUCUUCUAUAUCUUCACUAUUUCCUAUUUUUUAUCAGUUACCGAGAAGCCACCCUUUGUUGUGAUUACUAUAUGUAGAUGUUUCCCAAGAGCCUCAUGUGCUUGGAGACGAGUACUUCUGGAAGGUGAUUGGAUUGUAAGAGCUUAUAACUGACAGUUGUUACCAGGUGGAGUCUGGUUGGAAGAAACAGGUUGCUAAGCGUGUGGCCCGGAAUGAUUUAUCUCCCACCCAACCUCCUCUGCUUACUUCCUGCUUUCAAGCUCCCAUAAUGUCAGUAGCUUUUCCUCUGCCGUCCCUUCCUACCUUGAAGCCAGCAGACUACAGACUGAAAUGUAAAUAAAAA